GUGUCAGCAGCCGCGGUAAUACAGAGGGUGCAAGCGUUGUUCGGAAUUAUUGGGCGUAAAGCGCGUGUAGGCGGCUUUGCAAGUCGGGUGUGAAAGCCCUCAGCUCAACUGAGGAAGUGCGCCCGAAACUGCAGAGCUCGAGUACUGGAGAGGGUAGCGGAAUUCCCCAAGUAGAGGUGAAAUUCGUAGAUAUGGGGAGGAACACCGGUGGCGAAGGCGGCUACCUGGACAGAUACUGACGCUGAGACGCGAAAGCACGGGGAGCAAACAGGAUUAGAUACCCUGGUAGUCCGUGCCGUAAACGAUGAGAACUAGGUGUCGCAGGUGUUGACCCCCGCGGUGCCGUAGCUAACGCAUUAAGUUCUCCGCCUGGGAAGUACGGCCGCAAGGCUAAA
rnacentral:rRNA from 1 species